rnacentral:rRNA from 1 species
GUGAACGCUGGCGGUAGGCCUAACACAUGCAAGUCGAACGGCAGCACAGAGGAGCUUGCUCCUUGGGUGGCGAGUGGCGGACGGGUGAGGAAUACAUCGGAAUCUACCCUGUCGUGGGGGAUAACGUAGGGAAACUUACGCUAAUACCGCAUACGACCUUCGGGUGAAAGAGGGGGCUCGCAAGACCUCUCGCGAUUGGAUGAGCCGAUGUCGGAUUAGCUAGUUAGCGGGGCAAAAGCCCACCAAGGCGACGAUCCGUAGCUGGUCGGAGAGGAUGAUCAGCCACACUGGAACUGAGACACGGUCCAGACGCCUACGGGAGGCAGCAGUGGGGAAUAAUGGACAAUGGGCGCAAGCCUGAUCCAGCCAUACCGCGUGGGUGAAGAAGGCCUUCGGGUUGUAAAGCCCUUUUGUUGGGAAAGAAAAGCGACCGGCUAAUACCCGGUUGUUCUGACGGUACCCAAAGAAUAAGCACCGGCUAACUUCGUGCCAGCAGCCGCAGUAAUAC